AAGACUAUACUUUUAGGGAUCAUUUCUAUAGUUUGUUACUAGAGAAUGUUUCUCUAAUCAUGUCAAGUACCCAAAACCAUGAGAAGGAGACGCCAUGUUCUCUCCUGAGCAUGAAGCUCGCCCUAGGUAUUGUUUCUUCAACUGCUUUUGCCAUUGAUGAUUGUUUUUCUCCUCCUUUGGGGCAGUAAGAGGGAGAGGACACAGUCUGAGUGCU